CAAGAGCGUAUAUUAAAGUUGCUGCGGUUAAAAAGCUCGUAGUUGGAUUUCAGUCUAGGAAGGUUAACUCGCCGAAAGGUUGUACGUUGAUUUUCCUCAGACUUCGUCAGAAGCUCGUGCUGCACUUAACUGUGUGGUACGAUGUUCUGACCUUUUACCUUGAGGAAAGUAGAGUGUUUCAGGCAGGCUACCCAGCUUGAAUACAUUAGCAUGGAAUAAUGAAAUGGAUCUCGGUUCGAUUUCGUUGGUUCUAGAGCUGAGGUGAUGAUCAAUAGGAACAGGCGAAGGUAUUCGUACUUGAGAGUGAGGAGUGAAAUCCGAUGAUCUCUUAAAGACGAUCCGAGGCGAAAGCAUCUGUCAAGGAUGUUUUCAUUGA
rnacentral:rRNA from 1 species